UUUUUUUACCCCUAUAACAGUGGAGUUGCUGUUGGUGAUGCCUAAAAAUGACACAUAGUUUGACAAACUGCAAUUCCUCAAGCUUUUAUCAACAGGAAUUAGCUGAUUCUGAUGCCAAGAAAAGUGACUUUUCAUAUCAGCUUUACACUGAUCUGCAACACAUUGACGUGAGAAACAGGAGACAACAGAGCAGCAGCACACAACCAUGCAUGGACAGCAGGAAAAGAAAUCAUAGGUGUAAAGGGAUGAAAGCUGAAAUAGGCUCCACACAAAAGUCUGCAGCUCCCAUUUUGUGCUCACCAUCAUUUCAUGUCAAGAAAAGGACGGCAUUCAUGUGCCUCUCAUUAAUAUACAGCAUUUUGCAUCGGUCCAUGUGUGAAUUUUAAUGAGGUUUAUAAAUGCAAAGGUGAGAACAAGUGAGAGGCAAACAGGGAAGGGAGGAGACUGGGAGGUUGGCACAGGAGCAGGUUAAAGCGGGAUGUGACUAAUAAAGGGGCUGUGCUGUCGUCUUACUGUGGAUUUAGUCUGACUGAUGAGGAGCUCACGCUUUGCACAUUCAUCUGCUCAUUUGGUGGCUU